AUUGAACGCUGGCGGCAGGCCUAACACAUGCAAGUCGAGCGGAUGAAGGGAGCUUGCUCCUGGAUUCAGCGGCGGACGGGUGAGUAAUGCCUAGGAAUCUGCCUGGUAGUGGGGGAUAACGUCCGGAAACGGGCGCUAAUACCGCAUACGUCCUGAGGGAGAAAGUGGGGGAUCUUCGGACCUCACGCUAUCAGAUGAGCCUAGGUCGGAUUAGCUAGUUGGUGGGGUAAAGGCCUACCAAGGCGACGAUCCGUAACUGGUCUGAGAGGAUGAUCAGUCACACUGGCACUGAGACACGGUCCAUACUCCUACGGGAGGCAGCAGUGUGGAAUAUUCGACAAUGGGCGCAAGCCUGAUCCAGCCAUGCCGCGUGUGUGAAGAAGGCCUUCCGAUUGUAAAGCACUUUAAGUUGGGAGGAAGGGCAGUAAGUUAAUUCCUUGCUGUUUUGACGUUACCAACAGAAUAAGCACCGGCUAACUUCGUG
rnacentral:rRNA from 1 species